AAGGGUUCAAGAUUGAUGAACAAGUUUGAUUCUUGACCAAGAAUUUCAUGUCAUGCAAAUAUCAUCUAUGUCAUUUUCAAAUUUCGGACUGUUCAUGCCAUUUCUGUAGACAUUUUUGAGUAAAAAAAUUGAAAAUUUAGGAGUUUUGAAAUUUUGGAUUUUGGUUAAUGUGAAAGAAUUUGAAUUUGAGAUUUUGUGUAUUGAUGUGUUUUUGUGAUCAUGUACUUGUAUUUAGUUCAUUGAUGGAUUUGCUCAAACUAANN
rnacentral:lncRNA from 1 species